ACUGCUCUGCAGGAAGUGGUAUCUGUUCUUUAGACUGCUCUCCUUAGGGAGGAGCCAAGAGGGAUUUCCAUGCACACUGCCCAUGGUGGGUUUAAGUUACUGAAGUUCGAUUACUCAGGCCUGAUGAAUUUUUAAGACUGCUUUGUUGGUCAUUUGGCUGAUGGCUUCUUAUGUGCAUUCAACAGUUAAAAAUUCCUAAUCGAUUCUGUCAUCAUGCCCCCUCCCCACUUGUUCCUGCAGUUAUUAAAUAUUAACCAGGUUAGUGUUGAGUUAGAAAUUACAUUUCUGAGUUCAAGCGUUGUCUUUUUAAGUUUAAAAAACUAUAAAGGGUUGUUUUUACUAGGUAGACUGGCAUCUGGGUAGAGGCUGCCUGGGAUUUUUAUCCCCACAUAACCAGGGGCCAUCUGAAAGUCAUUUUCUAGCCAGAUCAGCCACUGAGCGGUAAGCAUCAGCGCUCAGCAGAGCCUUCCGAGCAGCAUUUAGAAAGCACCUUUGGGAAUGAUGGACUGCAAGGGAGUGGGCGGAUCUUCCUCUUAAACAGUAUUCUUAGAGUAGGAUUGACCUCAUGGGCUGCUCUGCCCACUUGGUCAGGCUCUCCUGAGCAGGACUGCUAAAGAGCUUGCCUCCUCAAAGCCUGGUCUCUGAGGUGCUUUCUAACAGCUGGAGGCACUUGUUCUGGGCUUUCCUUUGCCCUCAGUUUUUCACAGGUAGGUAGUAGCCAUGGAGGGCUGAAGCCCAGGCUCUCCUUACUCUCUGGAGUGUGAAGGUAGGGGUGAGCUCGUCUCACCCCUUUAUUAAAUGCUCCUGGAACUUGGAAGAGCAGCAGAUGAAGUUGGAAAGAAAAUUCUGCUCUUAUCACCUAAACAGGACAGGAGAGCAGAUGCCCCAGCGCCUCUAGUAGAUGGUAGUGGUGGGGCUAGUGUGUGGCUGUUACCUGGGCCGCUCAAAUUCAUUCCAGGGAGGAGGCUCCACUGCAUUCUUUGGCUGUGCCCUGAGGGUGCCUGCUCCUUUGUACGGUAACAGUCAAUUUUGAGGUUUCUUUCAGGAAGAGAAAGGGAUGGUUUUGAGGGGCUCAGAAAAUAGGAUUCAGUGUGUAACAUAACAGGUAGGUUGUCAGCAUGCUUGGCAUUCUUCUGUUUUCCUUACCGUUUUACAGACUAUGAAGCUGAGGGGGGAUGGUAGGCACAGAUGUGUGGCAACCCUGCUCUGUGCUCUGAAACCAAAGUGUGUCCUGUCUUGUCUGUCUCUCACCCUGCCAAAAGCAAGUGUCUAAUCACUGAUGCUGACCAGCCUGUUACAGAUACUUUCUACAACCAAAUUCAGAUUUAUUUUUUAUUAAGCAUUAUACCAUGGGCUGUCCUGUGCUCCUGUCACUCUUCAAAAACACCCCUUCUAUUACUGCCUCCGGGGAUGAAGCAGUAGCUAGGUUGCUUAACCUCCCCUCUCCAGCAGAGGCAUAAUCCAGAUAAGUAGCAGAUGUCAUAUUUCAUAAGCUCUUUUGGCCUGGGUACAGCAGAAAACUAGCAGUUUUCCUACUUGGCGCAAGUGACUUGUGCCUCCUUGUCUGUCCUUUGUCAGCACAGGUGCAGGCAAACCCUUCCAGCUGGGUUAAUUGCCGUUUAUGGUUUACUCACUUAGGGAAAGGGCUUAGGUGUUAGGCUGUGGGCUGCUUCUCCCUAACCAUCCAUUGUGCAGACUUCUCAUCUAAAAAGGUUGGUGGCUUUUGCUUGGGAUCAGUGCUCUGCUAACGCCCUUGCUGGUCUCUCCACACAUUCCUGUCAUUGAGACUUGAAUUGUAGGUGUGAUGUUAUGCACAGGAUGCUCAGAGCUAUGUUACUACUAUUCUUAGUUUGUAAAUUGUCCUUUUGAUACCAUCUUGUUUUCUUUUGUAGGUAUAAAUAAAUACUUGACA
rnacentral:lncRNA from 1 species